GACAGAGGGCACGGGCGUUAUUCGUUUUGAUUGGGUGUAAAGGGUAUGUAGGCCGGCGUAAUUUCCUUAUGGUGAAAAGUGCGGAGUGUUCCUACGCAGUCUACCUUUUGGAAUAGAGCCUGGAGUCAUGUAUAGGUCGGGGCAAAUUCUUGUGUAGGGGUAAAAUCCAUCCAUAUAAGAAUGAACACCAGUAGGCGAAGGCGCCUUUCCGGACAUGACCGACGCUAAGGUACGGAAGCUUGGGGAGCAAACGGG
rnacentral:rRNA from 1 species